rnacentral:rRNA from 1 species
GACGAACGCUGGCGGCGUGCUUAACACAUGCAAGUCGAACGGAAAGGCCCUGCUUUUGUGGGGUGCUCGAGUGGCGAACGGGUGAGUAACACGUGAGUAACCUGCCCUUGACUUUGGGAUAACUUCAGGAAACUGGGGCUAAUACCGGAUAGGCGCUCCUGCUGCAUGGUGGGGGUUGGAAAGUUUCGGCGGUUGGGGAUGGACUCGCGGCUUAUCAGCUUGUUGGUGGGGUAGUGGCUUACCAAGGCUUUGACGGGUAGCCGGCCUGGGAGGGUGACCGGCCACAUUGGGACUGGGUUACGGCCCAGACCCCUCCGGGAGGCAGCAGUGGGGAAUAUUGCACAAUGGGCGGAGGCCGGAUGCAGCAACGCCGCUGGCGGGAUGACGGCCUUCGGGUUGUAACCCGCUUCCGCCUGUGCCGAACCGUGAGUGACGGUAAUGGGUAAAGAAGCACCGGCUAACUACGUG